rnacentral:rRNA from 1 species
UACAGAGGUCUCAAGCGUUGUUCGGAUUCAUUGGGCGUAAAGGGUGUGUAGGUGGCGCGCUAAGUCGGGGUGUGAAAUUUCGGAGCUUAACUCCGAAACUGCAUUCGAUACUGGCGUGCUUGAGGACUGGAGAGGAGACUGGAAUUCAUGGUGUAGCAGUGAAAUGCGUAGAUAUCGUAAGGAAGACCAGUGGCGAAGGCGGGUCUCUGGACAGUUCCUGACGCUGAGGCACGAAGGCCAGGGGAGCAAACGGG